rnacentral:misc_RNA from 1 species
GAUGAAGAACGCAGCGAAAUGCGAUACGUAAUGUGAAUUGCAGAUUUUAGUGAAUCAUCGAAUCUUUGAACGCACAUUGCGCCCGCCAGUAUUCUGGCGGGCAUGCCUGUCUGAGCGUCAUUUCAACCCUCAUGCCCCUAGGGCGUGGUGUUGGGGAUCGGCCAAAGCCCGCGAGGGACGGCCGGCCCCUAAAUCUAGUGGCGGACCCGUCGUGGCCUCCUCUGCGAAGUAGUGAUAUUCCGCAUCGGAGAGCGAUGAGCCCCUGCCGUUAAACCCCCAACUUUCCAAGGUUGACCUCAGAUCAGGUAGGAAUACCCGCUGAACUUAAGCAUAUCAAUAAGCGGAGGA